CCUACGGGUGGCAGCAGUGAGGAAUAUUGGUCAAUGGACGAGAGUCUGAACCAGCCAAGUAGCGUGAAGGAUGACUGCCCUAUGGGUUGUAAACUUCUUUUAUAAAGGAAUAAAACGAGGCACGUGUGCCUUUUUGCAUGUACUUUAUGAAUAAGGAUCGGCUAACUCCGUGCCAGCAGCCGCGGUAAUACGGAGGAUCCGAGCGUUAUCCGGAUUUAUUGGGUUUAAAGGGAGCGUAGAUGGGUUGUUAAGUCAGUUGUGAAAGUUUGCGGCUCAACCGUAAAAUUGCAAUUGAUACUGGCAGUCGUGAGUACAGUUGAGGUAGGCGGAAUUCGUGGUGUAGCGGUGAAAUGCUUAGAUAUCACGAAGAACCCCGAUUGCGAAGGCAGCUUACUAAACUGUGACUGACAUUGAUGCUCGAAAGUGUGGGUAUCAAACAGGAUUAGAUACCCUAGUAAUC
rnacentral:rRNA from 1 species